CUUCAGUCUCUCUGGGCUUGGGCGGAAAUGAAGCAUAGACUGAAAUAAUUGACAUCACUGUGUAGUUCCCUCUACUGAUGCCCACCGCGCAACGCUAAAGUCACGUUUACGGUCCGACUACCAUGUUUUCCGAUAUCUGCUGUUUGUUCUCACCUCAGUUACGGGAGCGGCGUCUGUGAGGUCAUCCUUCAGCGGCGACGGCAGACGCCUGCUACGUUGGUGUAGCAGCCGGCUGAUGGAUUGGACUGCCGCCCGGAGAGAGCGCCUUCGGAGAACACGCUGUUCAAGGGGAGCAUAAAGGUGUGCCAAACCAGGAGAAGGAGUGCCCGGUGCUUGCGCAUACCAUCAUUGACGACAACGAAACCAGAAACACCAACACUUAGAACCACUUAGAACCACAGUUUAUCGUACUUUUUACUGCUUGAUUGUUCAACAAAAUAAAUCAUCAACCCGAUCA
ensembl:lncRNA